CUGACUCGGAGUCUGUGCAUAUGAAAACCUGGAAGGAAGCCCGGUCCUGCGGGGACCGCCAUGUCAUAGCAACUCUCAGCGUCAGGCUGGAGACUUUAAUUCUCUAAGAUCCAAUGGCCCCUGGGUGAUCACCAAGCGGAAUUUGCCGUAUGUUGCUAUGAAACUUGGACCGACAAAGGGUGACCCACUGGCCAAAGUCAGGGCCUCUCCUGUGUUUAGGACUGCGUCUUUUCAGAGCGUGUUCCUGAUCGUUCACAUUAGUCUCCCACACCCGACUUCACUCCACGCAGAGCACCUCACAACUGUCUGCAAUUCCAAUUCCACUGGGAUCUGAAACCCUCUUUCAGCCUUUGAGGUCACCAGGUAUGUACAUGGAGUAUUUAUACACUCACAAACACGCAUACCCUAAAACAUACUGAAUAGUUCUUUAACAGC
rnacentral:lncRNA from 1 species